rnacentral:lncRNA from 1 species
AUUGGUAAAAUAUUGUUUUAUUGUCAUCUUCAAAGAUAUUGUAACAUUUCACAAAUUUAUAAACUUUUUUAAAAAUUAAACUUUUAGCUUUAUAGAUUUAUAUUAUCGAGUAAAUAAUUAAACAUUUAGUUUUUGUUAAUUUUUAAAAUAAACUAUAUUGUUUUAAAUUUGUUUUCAUUAGUUUAAGGUAGUAUAGAUUAAUUAUUGUUAGAUAAUGAUGAUUUUUGUUAUUUAAAAAAAAUCUUUAUAAUUUUAAAAGUUAACAUCGAGAAAUAUUUAAAUAAUUAACAUAUGAAGGUAUACUAUUACAACAUUAAAUUAUAUCUAUUUAAUUUAUACAAUCUAUAAAUCCAAUGGAUCAUCUAUUAUUUAAAUCCAAUUAUGAUAGCCUAAUAAAAAUUUCUGGUAAGUCCAAAAUUAACAUAAAAACUUAUAAAAAUAACUCCAAUCCAUAAGUAAGCAAAAAAAAAAAAAACAGCUUGACGAAAUUCAGGUACCAUAAUAACCAAUUCUCCUCUCCUCCAGAAGUGAAUAUCGGUUGGAGUUUCUGGAAAAUGAAAAUACUUCUGACGUUUUAGAACUUUUCAAAAAACAAUCAUAGCAUUUAGUAAUAUACGUUAAGGUAUUUAUUUAAAUUACAUACCUCCUCAUGCCUCAUUCGCUUAUAGUUGAUUCUGUUUCGAAAAAUAUAGGAAACAUUUGAGAAGGUCAAAGCUUACAAUCAUAUAAUCUUUGUUUGUGUCGCUUACAAUCAUAAAC